GCCCGAGUGGCCGAGCGGUUGUAGGCGCUACGUCUGGAAUACGGUCGCAGGUUCGAAUCCUGCCUCGGGCA